GAUGAAGAACGCAGCGAAAUGCGAUAAGUAGUGUGAAUUGCAGAAUUCCGUGAAUCAUCGAAUCUUUGAACGCACAUUGCGCCCUGUGGUAUUCCGCAGGGCAUGCCUGUUCGAGCGUCAUUUCAACCCUCAAGCCUCGCUUGGUGUUGGGCCCUGCCCGCCGCGGCCGGCCCUAAAGAUAGUGGCGGCGCCGCCUGGCCCUCAGCGUAGUACAGCUCUCGCUCCAGGGUCCGGCGGCAGCCUGCCAGAACCCCCCAACUCUGUGGUUGACCUCGGAUCAGGUAGGGAUACCCGCUGAACUUAAGCAUAUCAAUAAGCGGAGGA
rnacentral:misc_RNA from 1 species